GAGAAGGACGUAGCUCAGUGGUAGAGCUUCUGCUUUGCAUGAAGAAGGUCCCAGGUUCAGUGCUGGGUUUCUCA